rnacentral:tRNA from 1 species
GGGGUGGUGGUCUAGUGGUCAUGGGCGCUCUGUCUUGUAGACAGAGAGGUCGGUGGUUCGAAUCCAUCCCACUCCA